GUGUCAGCCGCCGCGGUAAUACGGAGAGGGCAAGCGUUGUUCGGAUUUAUUGGGCGUAAAGCGCGUGCAGGCGGUUCAGUAAGUCAGAUGUUAAAGACCCACGGCUCACCCGGGGGCCUGCGUCUGAUACUGCUGGACUAGAGUGCGAAAGAGGAGAGCAGAAUUCCUGGUGUAGCGGUGAAAUGCGUAGAUAUCAGGAGGAAUACCCGUGGCGAAGGCGGCUCUCUGGUUCGCAACUGACGCUGAGACGCGAAAGCGUGGGUAGCGAACGGGAUUAGAUACCCCGGUAGUCCACGCCGUAAACGUUGGAUACUAGGUGUGGGAGGUUUUCUACCCCUUCUGUGCCGUAGCUAACGCAUUAAGUAUCCCGCCUGGGGAGUACGACCGCAAGGUUGAAACUUAAAGGAAUUGACGGGG
rnacentral:rRNA from 1 species